CAAAGUGUUUAUUAACAAAAGGAAAACUGUAUCUUAAUUUGAAAUUAUAUUUAAAAUAAACAUAUCACUAAGUUUCUAUAUGUAUCAGAAAUGAGAAAAAUAUUAUAGUGUUUAAGGCUAACAUCCUUUUUUAGCUUUUAUUGAAAGUUGUUCAAAUAUAAUAUAUAUUUUUUGAGAGGCAGUGUUAGUGAUCUAGGAACUCCUAGACUGAUAGACUAGAAAAGAAUGUGGCUAGAUUAACAUUGCCAAGCAUAGAGUUUAUGUUUUAUUAUGUUGAUGUUUUGUUAUAUAAUUAUAAACAUGCACAGGUUUCUGCAUGAAAAGAUAUUAAUAUAUUAAUCACAUGUGCGUGCCUUUUGGUUACAUGCACUAAAUCUAACAAAGUUAAAUUAUUUUGGUGGCUCUUUUGGCCUCCUACUAGGUGAGGUGGUCUUGUUUUUAGUUCUAAAAAGUUUCUUUGCACAAAAUUUCGUUUUUAAGAAAUGUAUCUUUUGACUGAAUUAUUGUUUUGAAAAUGUUAUAUAGGUUUUCAAUAGGUCAAUAACCAUAUGUAAAUGGUUUUUUAUAAAUUUCUCAAUUUGGGGACAAUAUUUUUUUGUGAUCUAAAUUGUGGACUUAUUCUUUACUUUGUAAGUGUAUAUAUAUAUAUGUAUAUAUAUAUAUAAAUAUAAUUUUUUCUUUGCAACACUGGAGCACAAUGUUUCUAUGUAAAGAAUUCUUUUCUUUAUCCAUGAGCACCAGGCUUUGCUCACUUAAAAAUAAGCCACAUUAAGGAGUGAGUCUUCUUUUUUUACAAUAAUGUAAAAAUGAACUGUUUACAUUUUUUUAAAGCAUUGUAGUUUUUAAAAAUUAAGCUGUUUUGUUUUGUGUUGUUGAAUUUGAAAGGCUUUGUAAAUAUCAAUAUAAUGUACCAAUGAAAUAACAUCUGGGACAAUGGAACCCUGGUAAUGUUGUUGAUGGUUUGCAUAUGUUUCUGAAACUGAAAUAUGUAUCAUUAAAGUUGGUCAUCAACACUUGUUAAAGGUGAGUUAUUUUCAGAUGACUUUAGUAAAUCAAGAGAUGCAAGAAAAAUAAAUUAUUGUCUUAAAAAGACUUUAAA
rnacentral:lncRNA from 1 species